ACAAGGUGUGGAAAGCGUUCCACAGGGAUACUGGCCCAUGUUGACUCUACAAGGUGUGGAAAGCGUUCCACAGGGAUACUGGCCCAUGUUGACUCUACAAGCGUUCCACAGGGAUACUGGCCCAUGUUGACUCUACAAGGUGUUGAAAGCGUUCCACAGGGAUACUGGCCCAUGUUGACUCUACAAGGUGUUGAAAGCGUUCCACAGGGAUACUGGCCCAUGUUGACUCUACAAGGUGUUGAAAGCGUUCCACAGGGAUGCUGGCCCAUGUUGACUCUACAAGGUGUAGAAAGCAUUCCACAGGGAUGCUGGCCCAUGUUGACUCUACAAGGUGUUGAAAGCGUUCCACAGGGAUGCUGGCCCCAUGUUGACUCUACAAGGUGUGGAAAGCGUUCCACAGGGAUGCUGGCCCCAUGUUGACUCUACAAGGUGUUGAAAGCGUUCCACAGGGAUGCUGGCCCAUGUUGACUCUACAAGGUGUGGAAAGCGUUCCACAGGGAUGCUGGCCCAUGUUGACUCUACAAGGUGUUGAAAGCGUUCCACAGGGAUACUGGCCCCAUGUUGACUCUACAAGGUGUUGAAAGCGUUCCACAGGGAUACUGGCCCAUGUUGACUCUACAAGGUGUUGAAAGCGUUCCA